rnacentral:rRNA from 1 species
GUGAGUAACACGUGGAUAACCUACCUAUAAGACUGGGAUAACUUCGGGAAACCGGAGCUAAUACCUGAUAACAUGUUGAACCGCAUGGUUCAACAGUGAAAGACGGUCUUGCUGUCACUUAUAGAUGGAUCCGCGUCGCAUUAGCUAGUUGGUAAGGUAACGGCUUACCAAGGCAACGAUGCGUAGCCGACCUGAGAGGGUGAUCGGCCACACUGGAACUGAGACACGGUCCAG